rnacentral:rRNA from 1 species
UACGUAGGGUCCGAGCGUUGUCCGGAAUUAUUGGGCGUAAAGGGCUCGUAGGCGGUUUGUCGCGUCGGGAGUGAAAACCCGGGGCUCAACCCCGGGCCUGCAUUCGAUACGGGCAGACUAGAGUUCGGUAGGGGAGUCUGGAAUUCCUGGUGUAGCGGUGAAAUGCGCAGAUAUCAGGAGGAACACCGGUGGCGAAGGCGGGACUCUGGGCCGAUACUGACGCUGAGGAGCGAAAGCGUGGGGAGCGAACAGG